GUGUCAGCCGCCGCGGUAAUACGAAGGUCCCAAGCGUUAUCCGGAAUUAUUGGGCGUAAAGCGCAUGUAGGCGGUUUAUUAAGUCUGAUGUGAAAGCUCACGGCCUAACCGUGAAAUUGCAUUGGAAACUGGUGAACUAGAAUACUGGAGGGGUAAGUGGAAUUCCAUGUGUAGCGGUGGAAUGCGUAGAUAUAUGGAGGAACACCAAUGGCGAAGGCAGCUUACUGGACAGUGAUUGACGCUGAGAUGCGAAAGCGUGGGGAGCAAACAGGAUUAGAUACCCGGGUAGUCC
rnacentral:rRNA from 1 species